GGGGUGAUAUGGGGUGCCGUUUUUCCCGAAUAACAGCAUAUGAAAGAGUCAAACAGCAAUCAAACAAUGAGGAAACAUAGAGCAAUCAAACACAUCUAACACGCAGCUAACACAGAUCUAACCGAAUCAAACGUGAUUUAUUGAUUAAUAAUCAAUUAAAUGAAUUGUACGGAAAUUGAAACGAAGUAUUAAAUGACAAAAGUUGAAAUAAA